AAAAGAAAAAAAAAUGUUCAAUUAUUGAAAUGUAUUUUUUUUUUGCAAAUUGUAAUGUAUAUAUUUUUGCCAUCUUUUUGUUAUUUUAGGAUUUGAGAUACUUUCAAAUUUUCCAAGUUACUUUAUACAUGUAGUUAAUGCAAUUAAAUCUGCGGAUGUGAAUAUUCCCACUAAAUUUCUUAGCAAAAAUUUUAAUUAUUUUUGUUUUUUUUAGCAACGUUUCAAAAUACCUUACAAUAGCAAAUGCCUCUCUAGUGUAAACUAAAAAGAUGAAUAAUGGUCUGCAGUAAAUAUAUCCCCUUACAACCUUUUCUUUCAUGUUAAUUUUAAUAUCUUUAAGAUAUGUGACGAGGAUGCUCUAAUGCAGAGGAAUUUACGAAGUUAAGAAGUUAGAAAUAUAUUUUUUGCACUUUUUUUGUCAUUUUUAGCUGAUUUUGGUUUGUAACCAAGGUGAUAUUUUUUAAAGAAUAAUUUUACAAAAGGCAUAAUUGAAGAACAUCUUGUUGAAAUUGGAUUGCUUGAUUUUUGGUGUUAAACACCACUUAAACAUGAUUUACUAUAAUUUUGGCUGUAAAUUUUUAUUUGUGGAGACAGCCAGAGUGCCUGGUGAAAACAUCACCUUCAUCAGGGAAACAGGCAAACCCUAGUCAAAUUAAGAAUGAAGUUACACAUUUCAUGUGAGGGUUCUCAGUGUUGACAGGCUAGUAAUACAGUAGUUGAACUACUUAUAGGACCACUCUGCCACCAUAAGUCGAUCAGUACGAAAUAUUUUAUUGAAAUGCGUUAGAUUUUUGUUAUCAAUCUAUUUUUUAAUUUUGAUUGUACUAUUUUAUUUAUUUUGUUUAAUAUAACAAGGAUGUGGAGUCCGAACAGGGUGAAAUUUGGGUCAAAGGGAGGCAAUUUAUUAUACCCCUGUUUAACUCCACAUACUUGAAAUUCCCUCAAUGUUAGGAUUUUCAUCUACUUGGAUAUUCAUGUUUGUACAUUUUUUUUUUAAUAUCAGAUGUAUACUAGCUAAUAUUUACUAUUAUUUAGAGCUCUGUAAUAAAAAAAAAUAAAUGUAAGCAGAGCUCUAGAUAAGUAUGCAGGGUGGGAGAAAUCUUGGGUCAUUAACAAUUGAUUUGCUGAAAUUUUCAAGAAAGGGGAUUUAUUGGAAAUGCAUCUGAUAUAUUUAAUGUAUAAAACUAUAUUUAAAAAAAAAGAUGUUAAGAUGAUGAGGAGAGCCACCUUGUCAGCCGGGAGAGCAGCUCUAAGGUAGAUGGUCAAUUUAAUCUUCACCAAGUCAGAGGCUUUACCAUGAAAAAUAUGUGGUUGUUAUAAUGAUGAUGUUUUCAUGGUGUUGGGAGUAAGACUUGGAUGUCUGAUAUUGUUAACAUGUUGGUUAGCAUCAGGUUUCCAUUGGGUUACUUGCUGGGAUUAAGCUG